rnacentral:rRNA from 1 species
AUGGACCUGCGAUGCAUUAGCUAGUUGGUAAGGUAACGGCUUACCAAGGGCGAUGAUGCAUAGCCCGAGUUGAGAGACUGAUCGGCCACAUUGGGGACUGAGACACGGCCCAAACUCCUGCGGGAGGCAGCAGUAGGGAAUCUUCCACAAUGGACGAAAAGUCUGAUGGAGCAAACGCCGCGUGAGUGAAGAAGGUUUUCGGAUCGUAAAGCUCUGUUGUUGGUGAAGAAGGAUAGAGGUAGUAACUGGCCCUUUAUUUGACGGUAAUCAACCAGAAAGUCACGGGCUAACUACGUGCCAGCAGCCGCGGUAAAU